rnacentral:rRNA from 1 species
GAUGAACGCUGGCGGUAUGCUUAACACAUGCAAGUCGAACGGAGUUCCUUCGGGGACUCAGUGGCGGACGGGUGAGUAACACGUGAGAACCUACCCUUAGGAUGGGGACAACAGUUGGAAACGACUGCUAAUACCCGAUGUGCCGGAAGGUGAAAGAUUUAUCGCCUAGGGAAGGGCUCGCGGCUGAUUAGCUAGUUGGUAAGGUAAAGGCUUACCAAGGCAACGAUCAGUAGCUGGUCUGAGAGGAUGAGCAGCCACACUGGGACUGAGACACGGCCCAGACUCCUACGGGAGGCAGCAGUGGGGAAUUUUCCGCAAUGGGCGAAAGCCUGACGGAGCAAUACCGCGUGUGGGAGGAAGGCUCUUGGGUUGUAAACCACUUUUCUCAGGGAAGAAUAGAUGACGGUACCUGAGGAAUAAGCAUCGGCUAACUCCGUGCCAGCAGCCGCGGUAAUACGGAGGAUGCAAGCGUUAUCCGGAAUCAUUGGGCGUAAAGCGUCCGCAGGUGGCCUAUCAAGUCUGCUGUCAAAGCGCAGAGCUCAACUCUGUAAAGGCAGUGGAAACUGAUAAGCUAGAGUACGGUAGGGGUAGCGGGAAUUCCCAGUGUAGCGGUGAAAUGCGUAGAUAUUGGGAAGAACAUCGGUGGCGAAGGCGCGCUACUGGGCCGAAACUGACACUGAGGGACGAAAGCUAGGGGAGCGAAAGGGAUUAGAUACCCCUGUAGUCCUAGCCGUAAACGAUGGAAACUAGGCGUGGCUUG